rnacentral:lncRNA from 1 species
UGAACUCAGGGCCUCAUACAUGGUAGGCAAGUGUUUCACCAUUGAAAUGCAUUCUCAGCCCUUUUAGUCUUUUAAUAUGAUCACUUUUUUUUACCCACUGUCCUCUCCACAGAAGUUUUAGAAUCUUUAUCCUUAGUGUUUUCAAAGUUUGCAGUGGUAUGUCUUUAGAUAUCUUUGUUUAGUCCCUUUUCAUAGUUUUGGACAUGUAAUAGACUUUUUCAACAGGGAAAUUUUUCUGUAGUCUUUUCUUUUUCCUUUGGUGCUGGGUAUUGAAUACAGGGCUUUGUGCACACUGAGUUUGUGUUCUACUACUGAGUUAGCCUCUCUUGUAUUUUUUCUUUGAUGCUAUCGCUUUUUAUUUAUUUAUUUAUUUAUUUAUAUUAGGGAUUGAACCCAGGGGUACUCUACCCCUGAGCUACAUUUUUAUUUUUUAUUAUGAUGCAAGGCCUCACUAAGUGACUGACUUUGAACUUGUCACUGGGAUUAGAGGCAUGUACUGCUGCUCUAAGGUGUUUUUUUCCUUGAUCUAUUAAAUUACUCCAGAGAAGAAUCUUCCAAGCUCCUACCUGGAGAAUAUAAUCCUGGUAUUGGUCUUUUCUUAUUCUUAGAACAAGUCAGGUGUAAGGCAUACUCUUUUUUUUUUCUUUUUAGAGAGAGAGAAUUUUAAAUAUUUAUUUUUUAGUUUUCGGUGGACACAACAUUUUUAUUUUAUUUGUAUGUGGUGCUGAGGAUCAAACCCAGAGCUGCGUGCAUGCCAGGCGAGUGCACUACCGCUUGAGCCACAUCUCCAGCCCCAGUAAGGCAUACUCUUG